AAGUAUCGGGAUUUAUUGAGCUGAUUCUUCCUGAUUCUGAUGCAUUGGUACACCCCAUGUUUAAACAAAUAAUUUUUACAAGACUUCUCUGUGUAUACUUGAUUGAUUUGUUGAUAAGUGGAUAUUUACCACAGAGAUAAGAUAGACGAUAGUAGUUAUCUUCUUGCAAAAUGACUUUUAUUUGCAGCAGUUCAACAAUGAGUAUCAAUCCAAAAAAUUUAGAAUCUUCCGAUGAGGAAGAAGAUGAAAGGAAGGAUCCGGAGGACGGAACUAAAAAAAAUCAGGAGGGUAAAAAAAAAAAAAAAAAAAAAAAAAAAAAAAAGUGAAGACUUUGAUCAGUCACAAUUGCCACACAUUAUGUGAAUAAAAUUUUUCCAUCAUUGAUUAUAUAAUAUUUUGCAGGAUUAUUUUCAAAUGUGUCCCUUCUAGUAGGGCUGGCUGUGGGUGGAACCUCAAUUAUUGCUGCACCAUUGAUAUUAACGGCCGUGGGAUUCGGAGCCGCAGGUGUUGCUUCAGGAUCAAUUGCAGCAGGAGUUCAAUCUGCCGUCUAUGGUGGGGCUACCAGUGGUAUUUUUUCUAUAUUACAAAGCGCAGGAGCCGUUGGAAUAUCUGCAGCCUCUAGUGCCAUAAUUGGAACUUCUACAGGAACAGUUGCUGCUGUUGUGACUCAGAAGAUAAACAAUGCCAAAAGUAAAAGUUAAAAUAAUCUAUGAUUAGAAUUUGUUAAAACAAAAUCUAAAUAAAAAAUCAUCAACAUACAAUGUGAUUUCACUUAAA
rnacentral:lncRNA from 1 species